rnacentral:rRNA from 1 species
UCGAGAAUCUUCCGCAAUGGGCGCAAGCCCGACGGAGCGACGCCGCGUGCGGGACGAAGGCCCUUGGGUUGUAAACCGCUGUCAGAGGGGAUGAAAUCGUUGGAGGCUAUCCUCCUUCGUUGACAGAGCCUCAGAGGAAGCACGGGCUAAGUACGUGCCAGCAGCCGCGGUAACACGUACUGUGCGAACGUUAUUCGGAAUCACUGGGCUUAAAGGGUCCGUAGGCGGCUUUGCAAGUCAGGUGUGAAAUUUCACGGCUCAACCGUGAAACUGCGCUUGAAACUGCAAGGCUUGAGUAUCUUAGGGGUGUGCGGAACUGCCAGUGGAGCGGUGAAAUGUGUUGAUAUUGGCAGGAACACCGGAGGCGAAAGCGGCACACUGGGAGAUAACUGACGCUGAGGGACGAAAGCCAGGGGAGCGAACGGGAUUAGAUACCCCCGUAGUCC